UGAGGGCCAUAGAGUAAGUAUAUAUAGAGGAGAAACUGAGGUACUAAACUCUGAAACAGUAAUUUAGUUCCACCAACACCUUCCAGAGACCGCUCGCAUCGCUGAUUUUCUGUUUACCUCGAGAAAUAUUUACUUAACCUCUAAAAUUUUCAGUUGAUCCGUCGAACCUUAUUUUUGGUAAGAGAUUUAUUAUGUCGUAGUCAACUUUGAAAUCCAACAAAUAUUGUGUUCCUAACUGUGGAGAUAUGUAUAGUAAACGUCAUCGUUUUCGAAUGAAGAGAAGCAGCCAACAAUUUUCAAACUUUGGCUCGAAAAAGUUAGUUAUCCAUUGCUCAACUCUAAAACUCCUCAACAAAUUUGUAAGAAGUGAAAUUAGAUAAACCUUAAAGGAAUUUGGCAACUGCUAUCCCUGAAUUAUUUCUUCCUGGAUCUUCAAAUCAAGGGGAAGAUGGAGAAGUUCAUGACACUGAAGAAAUACAUCUCCAAAGUGAUGUUGAGAGGGAAGUAUCAACAGAGACUUUGAAGAAUUUUAAGCACCCUCAGAAAACUUCAAUAAUAUAUAGAAAAAGAUAUCGAGGACAACAAUUAAUUGACACUAGAGGCUGUGGGCACUGCAGAGCUGAUCAUUUUUAUGGAUAAGCUGUUUGAUAGCCUGACUAUGCAAUUGUGAAGGACACAUUAAAAAUUUGGCAUACUAGAAAUAUUUAAAAAAAUGUAAAAUUUUAAAUAGAUGAUUUUUUUAUAUGAA